rnacentral:rRNA from 1 species
CGUUCUUGAAAUUUAAAAAAUUUGGCGGUAUUUUAGUCUUUUUAGAGGAACAUGCCCUGUAAUUGAUAAUCCACGAUUAAUUGUACUUAAAUUAAUAGUUUAUAUAUCGUCGUAGUUGAACACCUUAUGAGAGAGAAGUGUUCAAUAUUUAUAAUAUAAUAAAUAAAAUCAGAUCAAGAUAUAGCUUAUAUUUAAGAAGAGGUGUGUUACAUUAAAAAUAUUUAUGGUUAUAUUAAUUAAAAUUAUUAUAUAAAUUGGAUUUAAAAGUAAUAUAUUUAAGUUAAAAUAUAUGAUUUAAGCUCUGAAAUAUGCACAUAUCGCCCGUCGCUUCCAAUGAAUUUUAAAUUGGAAUAAGUCGUAACAUAGUAGGUGUACCGGAAGGUGUACCUAGUUUGACGAAUUAAAGCUUUAUAAAAGUAUUUUAUUUACAUUAAAAAGAUAUUUGUGAAAUUCAAAUUAAUUUGAAUUUAUAAAUUUAUUAUUUGAAAAUUGAUUAUCUAAAAUUUUAAAAAAAAUAUUUUUUAGUUUAUUUAUUAAUUAAGAUAAAAUUAUUAUUAUUAUAGUUUAUUAGUAUAGUGAUAGAAUAUUGAAAAAGAGUGAAAAAUAAAAUUUUGAAAAGAAAAAUUUAAUUUUUGUACCUUGUGUAUCAGGGUUUAUUAAAUAUUGAUUAUUAAAUAUUAAUUUUCUCGAAUUUAAAAGAGUUAAGAAAUUAUAAAUUUUAUUGUGAAAUAACUAUUUAAAAUAAUUUUUUAGUAAUGAAACGUUAUUCGUUUUUAAAUUUAUCUAGUUUUUUAAGAAAUAAAUUUAAUUUAGUUAUUUAUUUUAAUAUAAAUAAUUUUAUUAUUUAAUAUUAAUAUAAUUAAUUAAUAUUUUAAGGGAUAAGCUUUAAAGUAAAAUUUUAAAAAUAAAUAUAAUAAAAUAAUAUAAAUUAAUAGGAUUAGAAUUUUUUAUUUUUAAUAAUAUGUUAUAAUAAAUUUAUAUUAAAAUUUAAUUUUUAUAUAAUUUUAAAUUAUUUAUUAAAAUUAUUUAUUUAAUUUAAUAUUAGAUGAAAUAAUGAUAAAAUUAGUAUAAAUUUAAUGUAUAUUUAAUUUAAUUUAGUUAAGGUUAAAUUAAGGAAUUCGGCAAAAAAUUUUUUCUGCCUGUUUAUUAAAAACAUGUCUUUUUGAUUAUAAUUUAAAGUCUAACCUGCCCUAUGAAUAAUUUAAAUGGCCGCGGUAUUUUGACCGUGCAAAGGUAGCAUAAUCAUUAGUUUUUUAAUUAAGAACUGGAAUGAAUGGUUGGACAAGAAAAAUACUGUCUCAAUUUAAUUUAAAUUAGAAUUUUAUUUUUAAGUUAAAAAGCUUAAAUGAUAUUAAAAGACGAGAAGACCCUAUAGAGUUUUAUAUUAUUAAUAUUAUUUAAAUUUUAAGAAUUUAAAUAUUUAUAUUAUUAUUAUUAUUUAAUUGGGGUGAUUAAAAAAUUAAAUAAACUUUUUUUAUAUAAUAACAU